rnacentral:rRNA from 1 species
AUUGAACGCUGGCGGCAGGCCUAACACAUGCAAGUCGAGCGAGCGGCGGACGGGUGAGUAAUGUAUGGGGACUGCCCGAUAGAGGGGGAUAACUACUGGAAACGGUAGCUAAUACCGCAUACUACCGGCUAACCCAUAUGGGAUUAGCUAGUAGGUGAGGGAAUGGCUCACCAAGGCGACGAUGCCUAGCUGGUCUGAGAGGAUGAUCAGCCACACUGGGACUGAGACACGGCCCAGACUCCUACGGAGGCAGAAGUGGGGAAGCUGGCACAAUGGGAGCAAGCCUGAUGCAGGCAUGCAGGGUGUAUAAAGAAGGCAAUAGGGUUGUAAAGUACUCUCAGUCGGGAGGCGUUACCGGCAGAAAAAGCAACGGCAAACUCCGUGCCAGCAGCAGCGGUAAUAC